rnacentral:rRNA from 2 species
GAAAGCAUUUGCCAAGGACGUUUUCAUUAAUCAAGAACGAAAGUUAGGGGAUCGAAGAUGAUCAGAUACCGUCGUAGUCUUAACCAUAAACUAUGCCGACUAGGGAUCGGGUGUUGUCCUUUUUUUGGCGCACUCGGCACCUUACGAGAAAUCAAAGUUUUUGGGUUCUGGGGGGAGUAUGGUCGCAAGGCUGAAACUUAAAGGAAUUGACGGAAGGGCACCACCAGGAGUGGAGCCUGCGGCUUAAUUUGACUCAACACGGGGAAACUCACCAGGUCCAGACACAAUAAGGAUUGACAGAUUGAGAGCUCUUUCUUGAUUUUGUGGGUGGUGGUGCAUGGCCGUUCUUAGUUGGUGGAGUGAUUUGUCUGCUUAAUUGCGAUAACGAACGAGACCUUAACCUACUAAAUAGUGCUGCUAGCUUUUGCUGGUAUAGUCACUUCUUAGAGGGACUACCGAUUUCAAGUCGGUGGAAGUUUGAGGCAAUAACAGGUCUGUGAUGCCCUUAGACGUUCUGGGCCGCACGCGCGCUACACUGACGGAGCCAGCGAGUAUUAACCUUGGCCGAGAGGUCUGGGAAAUCUUGUGAAACUCCGUCGUGCUGGGGAUAGAGCAUUGUAAUUAUUGCUCUUCAACGAGGAAUUCCUAG